AGCAGUGUUGCCUAGUGGAAAGAGCAUGGGACUGGGAGUCAGAAGGACCUGGGUUCUAAUCCCAGUUCUGCCU
rfam:Ornithorhynchus anatinus chromosome 3, whole genome shotgun sequence.